GACGAACGCUGGCGGCGUGCUUAACACAUGCAAGUCGAACGAUGAAGAAGAGAAACGCGAACUUCGGUUCCAAUUUCACUUCGGAUUAGUGGCAGACGGGUGAGUAACGCGUGAGCAACCUACCUCUUACAAAGGGAUAGCCUCGGGAAACCGUGAUUAAUACCAUAUGACACAUUCAUAAGGCAUCUUAAGAAUGUUAAAGCUACGGCGGUAAGAGAUGGGCUCGCGUCCCAUUAGCUAGUUGGUGAGGUAACGGCCCACCAAGGCGACGAUGGGUAACCGGCCUGAGAGGGUGAACGGUCACAUUGGAACUGAGACACGGUCCAAACUCCUACGGGAGGCAGCAGUGGGGAAUAUUGCACAAUGGAGGGAACGCUGAUGCAGCGACGCCGCGUGAGCGAUGAAGGAAUUCGUUUCGUAAAGCUCUGUUCUAUGGGAAGAAAAGGACUGUACCAUAGGAGAAAGCCCCGGCUAAAUACGUG
rnacentral:rRNA from 1 species